rnacentral:rRNA from 1 species
GAUGAACGCUGGCGGCGUGCUUAACACAUGCAAGUCGAACGGAAAGGCCUCUGCUUGCAGGGGUACUCGAGUGGCGAACGGGUGAGUAACACGUGGGUGAUCUGCCCUGCACUUCGGGAUAAGCCUGGGAAACUGGGUCUAAUACCGGAUAGGACAAUGGUUUGGAUGCUGUUGUGGAAAGUUUUUCGGUGUGGGGUGAGCUCGCGGCCUAUCAGCUUGUUGGUGGGGUAAUGGCCUACCAAGGCGUCGACGGGUAGCCGGCCUGAGAGGGUGUACGGCCACAUUGGGACUGAGAUACGGCCCAGACUCCUACGGGAGGCAGCAGUGGGGAAUAUUGCACAAUGGGCGCAAGCCUGAUGCAGCGACGCCGCGUGGGGGAUGACGGCCUUCGGGUUGUAAACUCCUUUCGCUAGGGACGAAGCGUUUUUGUGACGGUACCUGGAGAAGAAGCACCGGCUAACUACGUG